CAAAGGUGAGCCAGUACAGGAUGGACCCGCGUCUGAUUAGCUAGUUGGUAAGGUAACGGCUUACCAAGGCGACGAUCAGUAGCCGACCUGAGAGGGUGAUCGGCCACACUGGAACUGAGACACGGUCCAAACUCCUACGGGAGGCAGCAGUGGGGAAUAUUGCACAAUGGGCGAAAGCCUGAUGCAGCAACGCCGCGUGAGUGAUGAAGGCCUUCGGGUCGUAAAACUCUGUCCUCAAGGAAGAUAAUGACGGUACUUGAGGAGGAAGCCCCGGCUAACUACGUGCCAGCAGCCGCGGUAAUACGUAGGGGGCUAGCGUUAUCCGGAUUUACUGGGCGUAAAGGGUGCGUAGGCGGUCUUUCAAGUCAGGAGUGAAAGGCUACGGCUCAACCGUAGUAAGCUCUUGAAACUGGGAGACUUGAGUGCAGGAGAGGAGAGUGGAAUUCCUAGUGUAGCGGUGAAAUGCGUAGAUAUUAGGAGGAACACCAGUUGCGAAGGCGGCUCUCUGGACUGUAACUGACGCUGAGGCACGAAAGCGUGGGGAGCAAACAGGAUUAGAUACCCUGGUAGUCCACGCUGUAAACGAUGAGUACUAGGUGUCGGGGGUUACCCCCUUCGGUGCCGC
rnacentral:rRNA from 1 species